rnacentral:rRNA from 1 species
ACGAACGCUGGCGGCGUGCUUAACACAUGCAAGUCGAACGGAAAGGCCUGCUUUCCCUUGUGGAUUGCGGGUACUCGAGUGGCGAACGGGUGAGUAACACGUGAGUGAUCUGCCCCCAACUUGGGUAUAAGCCUGGGAAACUGGGUCUAAUUCCCGAUAGGACUGCAGGGGGGUGCCUGUGGUGGAAAACGAUUUUCUAGUGGUUGGGGAUGAGCUGGCGGCCUAUCAGCUUGUUGGUGGGGUAAUGGCCUACCAAGGCGGCGACGGGUAGCCGGCCUGAGAGGGUGUACGUGAUCAUUGGGACUGAGAUACGGCCCUGACCCCGACGGGAGGCAGCAGUGGGGAAGAUUGCACGAUGGGCGGAAGCUUGAUGCAGCGACGCCGCGUGGGGGAUGACGGCCUUCGUGUUGUAAACUCCUUUCGACCGCGAGGAAGCCACCUGGUUGGAAGGGUGGUGACGGUAGUGGUAGAAGAAGCACCGGCUAACUACGUG